rnacentral:rRNA from 1 species
UACGAAGGGGGCUAGCGUUGUUCGGAAUUACUGGGCGUAAAGCGCACGUAGGCGGAUCGUUAAGUCGGGGGUGAAAUCCUGGAGCUCAACUCCAGAACUGCCUUCGAUACUGGCGAUCUUGAGUCCGGAAGAGGUGAGUGGAACCCCUAGUGUAGAGGUGGAAUUCGUAGAUAUUAGGAAGAACACCAGUGGCGAAGGCGGCUCACUGGUCCGGUACUGACGCUGAGGUGCGAAAGCGUGGGGAGCAAUCAGG